UACGUAGGUGGCAAGCGUUGUCCGGAUUUACUGGGCGUAAAGAGCGCGCAGGCGGUCGUUCAAGUCGCGUGUGAAAGCCCCCGGCUCAACUGGGGAGGGUCACGCGAUACUGAUCGACUCGAAGGCAGGAGAGGGUAGUGGAAUUCCCGGUGUAGUGGUGAAAUGCGUAGAGAUCCGGAGGAACCCAGAGGCGAAGGCGGCGUCCUGGCUCGCAUCUGACGCUCAGACACGACAGCAUGGGGAGCGAACGGG
rnacentral:rRNA from 1 species